rnacentral:piRNA from 2 species
UGAGGAAACUCGCAGGGUGUUCGCCAC